rnacentral:rRNA from 1 species
AGCUCCAAUCGCGUAUAUUAAAGUUGCUGCAGUUAAAAAGCUCGUAGUUGCAUUUCCGAGGCAAGGGAUUAGUCCGACCUUUGGUGGGUAUUUAAUCCUCUUGCCUCGUCCUUGAGUGGUGCUUCUUGGUAUUAAGUUAUCGAGGAGAUAGCCGCUCAUCGUUUACUGUGAGAAAAUUAGAGUGUUCAAAGCAGGCUUAUGCCGUUGAAUAUAUUAGCAUGGAAUAAUAAGAUAGGACCUCGGUACUAUUUUGUUGGUUUGAGAACCAAGGUAAUGAUGAAUAGGGACAGUUGGGAGUAUUCGUAUUCAGUUGUCAGAGGUGAAAUUCUUAGAUUUACGGAAGACGAACUACUGCGAAAGCAUUUACCAAGGAUGUUUUCA